UACGUAGGGUGCAAGCGUUAAUCGGAAUUAUUGGGCGUAAAGCGCGCGCAGGCGGUCCUUUUAAGUCUGAUGUGAAAGCCCACGGCUCAACCGUGGAGGGUCAUUGGAAACUGGGGGGACUUGAGUACAGAAGAGAAGAGUGGAAUUCCACGUGUAGCAGUGAAAUGCGUAGAGAUGUGGAGGAACACCGAUGGCGAAGGCAGCCCCCCUGGGUCAAGAUUGACGCUCAUGCACGAAAGCGUGGGGAGCAAACAGG
rnacentral:rRNA from 1 species